CGCAAGCCUGAUGCAGCGACGCCGCGUGCGGGACUGGAGGCCUUCGGGUUGUAAACCGCUUUUGUUCAAGGGCAAGGCACGGCUUCGGGCCGUGUUGAGUGGAUUGUUCGAAUAAGCACCGGCUAACUACGUGCC
rnacentral:rRNA from 1 species